GCCUGGCACAGUGGCGUGUGCCUGUAGUCCCAGCUUCUCAGGAGGCUGAAGCUGGAGGAUCGCUUGAGUUCAGGAGUUCUGGGCUGUAGUGCGCUAUGCCAAUCGGGUGUCCACACUAAGUUUGACAUCAGUAUGGUGACCUUCCAGGAGUAGGAGACCACCAGGUUGCCUGAGGAGGGGUGGACCGGCUCAGGUUGGAAACAGAGCAGGUCAAAACUGCUGUGCUGAUCAGUAGUGGGAUUGUGCCUGUGAAUAGCCACUGCACUCCAGCCUGGACAAUGUAGCGAGACCCAGUCCCC
rnacentral:SRP_RNA from 1 species